rnacentral:tRNA from 1 species
GGUUAUGGCUCAGUGGUAGAGUGCUUGCCUAGCAUGCGUGAGGCACUGGGUUUGAUCCUCAGCACCA